UAACAAUAUUGCUGUUUGUUUAUGUUAUUAUGUUUACUGUUUUCGGCAUCCAAAGUUGAUGAACUGCAAACCAUUGAUUAUUAUAUAUAAUCAAUGUGCAAACUUCAAAUUGCAAAUUGUAAUUAUUUGGUGAAUUUAAUAAUUACAUGUUACGGUUGGCUUACAUAGAGCCUCUAUGUUAGAGGACUUGAGUAUAUAACUCGGUCUUUUAGUUAAUGACUAUGAUUUCUCUAUUUUCAUGUGAAUGAUUAAGAUAAACAUUAGACUAAACUGAAAUUAUAAAAGCUUGUUAUUCAUUGAUAUUGUCAUCAUGGUGAACAUUGAUUAUGAAAACAUUAAAAAGUAUCCUACAGUUGAAUGUGCUCUGUGUGGAUUUUUGUUUCGUAAUAAAACAAGUCUAAAAAACCAUCUUGACUCUAUGCACAGUGGAAGAAACACAGGUUUUAUAAAAAAAAGACAUAGAAAAUGCACUGAUUUACAAUGCUCGGAAAAAGGAUGUAAAAGUAAAUUUUACAAUAAAGAGCUCUUUAUUAGUCAUUUAAAAUUUGACCAUUGUAUUGAUUUUGACAUACGCAAGUUGAAGUUCAAUUCAGAAGAUGAAUUUCUAACAUGGAAAGAAGACUUUGAACAAGAAAAUAAUAGUCGUUAUGUCCGUGUUACUGGUUGCAAGACACUUCAGGAUGGUAAAAAACUUUCUUAUUACUACUGUAAUCGGUCUACGUAUUUCACUAGUAAGUCUAAAGGAGUGCGAAAGCGACGUACUCCUAUUAAAGUAAAAGGGUUAUGUACAGCAACAAUUAAAGAAAUCCAAAACAAAGAUGGUUUUAUCGAAAUAUUAUUAUGUGCUACACAUUAUGGUCAUGACAUAUCUACUGAACAUAUGAGAAUGACCAAACGUGAACGAGAAGAAAUUACCGAGUUAAUUCAACAAGGAGAUCAUCCAGAUUUUGUCAUCAAUGCAGCCCGUGCCAAGGUAUCAGAUUCGUUGGGACGUGUUCAUAUGUUAAAUAGAAAAGAUAUUAAAAAUAUUGAACGUAAACUGGGAAUUAGGCAUCCAGGAUUUAUUAAACAUAGGACAAUCAAUGAUCUCAGUACAGAUAGAUGGAUUUUAAAAUUACAACGUACUCCUGAUAAUCCUGUAUUGUUUUAUAAACCUAAAAAUGUAACAUGUGAAAACUUUGAACCUAAUGAUGUCAUGUUAAUAUUUAUGACUCGAAAUCAAAACAAUUGGAUAAAUAAAUUUGGAACGGAUGGAAUAUUCAUGGUGACCGAAAUGAGUAUGGUUCGUGCUCAAUUAUAUUUGACUGUGUUGUAUGUGUGUGAUGAAUUUAAUGUGAUGCUACCAGUAUGUUUCAUGAUGUGUAAUGAUAGUAAAAUUUAUCAAUCAUUUUUUUUAAAUAUAAUUUUCAAUAAAAUUGGCUGUAUUUAUGCUAAAGCAUUAAUCACUGAUGAUAACUAUGACUUAUAUGAAAGUUGGUGCUCAAUCAUGUCACCAGUUAGGCACGUUAUUAACCAAAGAUAUAUUGAUAAUCAAAUAAUAGAAAAACUUCAAACUGAAAUUGAAAAUCAAGAUUUACAACAUGAAAUUUAUGAUAAAAUAUGUUCAUUUUUUAAUGAACCAGAUGAAAGUAUAAAACAAGAAAUUAUAAAUUAUACUAAUAAUAACCUUAAGAAGAACAAUGAAACAAAGCUAUUUGGAACAUUUUUUGAUCAAAUGUUUGCUAGUAGAGCAGAUAUGUGGGCUUUCUGUCAUUUGAAAGAAUCUCUUAGCUUAAACAAAAUGAUUAACAUUAACACUGUUUACAACCAAAUGAUAGUAUUAUGUGAAAACAAAAAACAUUUUACUCCAAAUUUAUCAAAAAAUAUGCACAUUUUCUUUACAGCUCUCUUAGAUAUUCAGAAAAAUAGAAAAAAAAAAAUUGAAGAAAUCAAUAUUAAAAUUGCCAACAAUCACAAAAAUGCAACGUGUUAUCCUUCUAGACUUAUUUUCCCCCUUUCUAAUAAUAAAUGGCGAGUAACACUAGAAGACGGUACAAAUAAUGGCUAUGUGACAAUUACUAGAAAAUUUUGUAAAAUCAUAGAUUGUGCGGUCAAAUGUGAAGCAUGUUAUAAUAUUUGUGCUCAUAUUUAUGAAUGUUCAUGUAGACGAGGAGAAUUAACUAUAUGUGAACAUGUUCAUAUGUUAGGCAUCUUUAACAAAAGGUCACAGAUUGAUAUGGAUGUACAAGAAAAAGAGGAAAGAUUAGAUGUUGUUGAAGACUUAAAAACAAACAUUUUGUUAAAAUUACAACGAAUUCUUGGCAAUGUAGACUUUGUCAAUGAUGAAGAAACACUUAGAAGAAUCAACAUGUCAUUAAGUGGAGUAGAAAAUAUAAUUACUAGAACCCAAAGGACUGACGAUUGGUAUCUACAGUCAACUGGACUUAAACUUCAUGGGCUACAUGAAACUUUUUAGUGUUCACGGAAAAUCGACAAAAAAAAAUAUUAAUAAAAUAUAUCAAAUAAAAGCAAUAAAGAUGUAUUGUGUAUGUAUCACUUAUAUUUACGUAAAACCGUUUUUGAUUAUGCACAGAGAGAAAUAGCACCAAAAGCGGCUGAAAUAGACAAGACAAACACGUUCAAUGAUCUGAGG